rnacentral:lncRNA from 1 species
CCUUGCCAAAAAACCAAAUUGAAGACCGAAAACACACAGACGCAGCGAACUAGUCUCGGGAUUUGCAAGUGCCUGGAAAAAUAAUGCUGGUGAAACUAGCCCUUCUAUUGGUCUGCGCAUUCGGCGGAUGCUCCGGUAAUAAGAAACCACUCUGUGACCCCGACUUCAUUGCGAAACGUCUUGGAGACAACCCGAACGCGUGGAAGUUAAUUUCGCAAAGCAGCCCCAGAUAUCAUUUGGUGUUCCACUCAAAUGCGAGCUUCGAAGGAAAGUACAAGUGUUUGUGCACCACAUUCUCCGGUGCAGACCUCCACGACAAAUGGAAAAGGACUGUAAAGUAUCAUUACUCUGAAAAUGAGGAGUCAACAAAACACGGAGCAAGUACCAUGUGGUCAAAUAAAACAAGUAAAAAUUUUGUUUACGACAAUGAACUUAGCGCGACCUACUACAACAGAAUAAACACGAAACAUUCCUUUUCUUUUGUUAAGAUGAUUAGCAACAACCGAAUAAUUUACACGGAUCAAAAGACAUGUAUACUUAUGAAGUCAGAAGAACUUGGUCACCAAGUCUGGGUGCAGACGGACUACUUACUAAGGAAGACAAAGAUACCUUACAUGUGUGUCCUGUUUUACGAAGCCUGCGCUGGAAGGACAAAAAUUUGGGCGUACGAUUGGCAAUUUUGUCCUUUUCACGGUUACUGUUCCAAAACUGCACAACAAUAACUUCUAGGUAUCAAUAAUUUUGAGCUCUUUCUUCAUGUACGUUUUGAAUAAAAUUCAAUAAAUCGUUUUUUCAGGU